CUCGCAUGGUUUAGUGUCCCUCCUGUUUGUUUUCUUUGGGUUUGGAGGCACAGAUUUGAAAAGGCAAACCUAGAAAGCAUUUUUUUUUUAGUUCGCAACCACCUUGGAGUGAUUUUCUAAAGGGAUAAUUGAAUAUUUCAUUCUUGGAUUAAAUGGAAAUGGUUGCCAGUAGUCACGGAACUUCUCCUUUUUCCCCCGAAAAAGUCCAAGAAGUGUCCGAGGGUGUCAUUACUUGCUGCUUCCUUGUGAUGGGCUUCCUCGUCCUGUUCAGGAUCAUGAUUGGCAUUAUUUGGGAUAUAAGGAUUGCGCAUGCGCAAAGGGAAAUCGACGAACCACCAAAACUUUACCACCAAAGAUUCUUGGCUGAGUACCAGAAAGGGAAGUAGUAGCCCGGUGUACACGAACUACUCAUGAAUCACUGAAUCGUCCUGAUUUCAUGAAAGAAUUGGUUAGGAAUUUAAUGAAUGAACAGAUACUCUGCUUCGAUUUGUCUGCGUAUAUCCCAUAUGUAUAUACACCAUUCUUUUUUAUGUAUUGAAAGGUAUUCUUAAAUUUUAUAUCUUUGUAACCAAAAUGUGGAAACUAUUACUUGUCACAUUUUACAGAAUUUGACUCUCUCAAAGAUUACAUGUUUUUAGCAAUUGUAAACACU